GGGUCAGUAGGUUGGUCGUGCCACCGGUACGUACUGGUCUCACUGAUUCCUCCUUCCUGAAGAACCGUAAUGCCAUUAAUUUGGUGUUGCGGGGAAACAGGACUGUUACUUUGAAAAAAUUAGAGUGUAUAAAGCAAGCUAACGCUUGAAUACAUUAGCAUGGAAUUAUGAAAUAGGACGAUCGAUCCUAUUUUGUUGGUUUCUAGGAUUGACGUA
rnacentral:rRNA from 1 species